UACGUAGGUGGCGAGCGUUGUCCGGAUUUAUUGGGUUUAAAGGGUGCGUAGGCGGCCCUCUAAGUCAGUGCUGAAAUAUCCCGGCUUAACCGGGAGGGUGGCAUUGAUACUGGGGGGCUUGAAUGAAGUUGAAGUGGGCGGAAUUGACGGUGUAGCGGUGAAAUGCUUAGAUAUCGUCAAGAACACCGAUAGUGAAGACAGCUCACUAAGCUUCUAUUGACGCUGAGGCACGAAAGUGUGGGGAUCAAAC
rnacentral:rRNA from 1 species